AUCCUGUGGUUGCUCCCGGAACCUACAACAGGCGCUCGGACCCCCAGGGACGCAUUUGCCCGAACACCCUGCCGGACCGGAAGCACCAGGACAGGUGGCCGUCAAUCACCCGCGAGCGGCCGCUCCCGCGUCUGAAAGGCGAACCACGCAAUCCAUCAAUCAUUACCAUCAAUUAUUAACUGUGCAAAUGUCUGCUUGUUUUUAUGUGCAAAAUGGCUAAUAAAGUGCUUGUUUAAAGUGCAAAGUUUC